AGAGUUUGAUCAUGGCUCAGAUUGAACGCUGGCGGCAGGCCUAACACAUGCAAGUCGAGCGGCAGCGGAAAGUAGCUUGCUACUUUGCCGGCGAGCGGCGGACGGGUGAGUAAUGUCUGGGAAACUGCCUGAUGGAGGGGGAUAACUACUGGAAACGGUAGCUAAUACCGCAUGACCUCGAAAGAGCAAAGUGGGGGAUCUUCGGACCUCACGCCAUCGGAUGUGCCCAGAUGGGAUUAGCUAGUAGGUGAGGUAAUGGCUCACCUAGGCGACGAUCCCUAGCUGGUCUGAGAGGAUGACCAGCCACACUGGAACUGAGACACGGUCCAGACUCCUACGGGAGGCAGCAGUGGGGAAUAUUGCACAAUGGGCGCAAGCCUGAUGCAGCCAUGCCGCGUGUGUGAAGAAGGCCUUAGGGUUGUAAAGCACUUUCAGCGAGGAGGAAGGCAUCAUACUUAAUACGUGUGGUGAUUGACGUUACUCGCAGAAGAAGCACCGGCUAACUCCGUGCCAGCAGCCGCGGUA
rnacentral:rRNA from 1 species